rnacentral:misc_RNA from 1 species
GGAAAAAAGUCGUAACAAGGUUUCCGUAGGUGAACCUGCGGAAGGAUCAUUAUCGAAAUACUUAUUUAGCGUUCCGUGCUAUCCCAUUGUUUUAUUUACCCUGUUGCUUCCACUGGAUGAGUUUCCAUACCUUGUGUUUGAGAAACUUUGGCUUGUGUAAGAUUCAUUCACGGCCAGCCAGUGAGAAGACCAUUUACAAAACCCUGUUAAGAACCAAUUGUCUGAAUAUUUUACUCCAAUGAAAUAAAACUUUCAACAACGGAUCUCUAGGCUCUU